CGAAGAGAUUGAAGUGGCCACUCAAAAUU
rnacentral:sRNA from 1 species